rnacentral:rRNA from 1 species
UGAUUGCUCUCCCAUUGGAUUUCCGUGGGAAAUCUAGAGCUAAUACGUGCAGUUCAUUGGCUCACCUUCGGGUGGGACAAAGCAUUUAUUAGACUAAACCAUCUACUAUGCUUGCAUAGUAAGGGGAAUCUGGAUAACUUUGCUGAUCGUAUGGCCUCGUGCCGGCGACGUUUCAAUUGAGUUUCUGCCCUAUCAACUUGUUGGUAAGGUAUUGGCUUACCAAGGUUGCAACGGGUAACGGGGAAUCAGGGUUCGAUUCCGGAGAGGGAGCCUGAGAAACGGCUACCACAUCCAAGGAAGGCAACAGGCGCGCAAAUUACCCAAUCUAGACAGUAGGAGGUGGUGAAGAGAAUUACUAGGUGGUGACUCAAUGAGUUACCAGUUUGGAAUGAACGUAACUUAAGAAAUUCGAUGAGAAACAACUGGAGGGCAAGUCCUGGUGCCAGCAGCCGCGGUAAUUCCAGCUCCAGUAGUUUGCUUUAAAGUUGUUGCGUUUAAAACGCUCGUAGUUGGAUCACGCAGCAGUGCUCAGUAAUCUGCUGCCUGACUUCGACCAAUGAAACCACUUCGGUGGCCUUUCGGUAGCUGUCGACAGCAGAUGCCAACGCUGAGCACUGCUAGUUGCAUGUGAGAUGAAUUGUUGGCCUUUAUUGAGCCGGUAUUCUCGUCUUGCAGAGUGUGCCUUGAAUAAAACAGAGUGCUUAAAGCAGGUCAUUGCCUGAAUGUUAUAGCAUGGAACGAACAAUCGUGUAUAUGUAUGCAUCCUUGAUUGGUGAUGAGCCUUAGGUUUGUCGUUAGUCAGGAUACAUACGGCACCCACCAAAAUAUGGCUGUUGGUUCCAUAUACGGUGAUGAUUAAAAGGAGCGGUUGGGG